rnacentral:rRNA from 1 species
CAAUAGCGUAUAUUUAAGUUGUUGCAGUUAAAAAGCUCGUAGUUGGAUUUCGGAUGGGACUUGCCGGUCCGUCGUUUCGAUGUGCACUGGCCAGUCCUAUCUUGUUGUCGGGGACUAGCUCCUGGGCUUCACUGUCCGGGACUAGGAGCUGACGAGGUUACUUUGAGUAAAUUAGAGUGUUCAAAGCAAGCCUACGCUCUGAAUACAUUAGCAUGGAAUAACACGAUAGGACUCUGGCUUAUCUUGUUGGUCUGUGAGACCAGAGUAAUGAUUAAGAGGGACAGUCGGGGGCAUUCGUAUUUCAUUGUCAGAGGUGAAAUUCUUGGAUUUAUGAAAGACGAACUUCCGCGAAAGCAUUUGUCAAGGAUGUUUUCAUUAA